CGGACGGGUGAGUAAUGUCUGGGAAACUGCCUGAUGGAGGGGGAUAACUACUGGAAACGGUAGCUAAUACCGCAUAACGUCGCAGACCAAAGAGGGGGACCUUAGGGCCUCUUGCCAUCGGAUGUGCCCAGAUGGGAUUAGCUAGUAGGUGGGGUAACGGCUCACCUAGGCGACGAUCCCUAGCUGGUCUGAGAGGAUGACCAGCCACACUGGAACUGAGACACGGUCCAG
rnacentral:rRNA from 1 species